rnacentral:rRNA from 1 species
AGGACGAACGCUGGCGGCGUGCUUAACACAUGCAAGUCGAGCGGUAAGGCCUUUCGGGGUACACGAGCGGCGAACGGGUGAGUAACACGUGGGUGAUCUGCCCUGCACUUCGGGAUAAGCCUGGGAAACUGGGUCUAAUACCGGAUAUGACCUCAGGUUGCAUGACUUGGGGUGGAAAGAUUUAUCGGUGCAGGAUGGGCCCGCGGCCUAUCAGCUUGGUUGGUGGGGUAAUGGCCUACCCAGGCGACGACGGGUAGCCGACCUGAGAGGGUGACCGG